UACGGGGGGGGUAAGCGUUGUUCGGAAUUACUGGGCGUAAAGGGCUCGUAGGCGGCCAACUAAGUCAGACGUGAAAUCCCUCAGCUUAACUGGGGAACUGCGUCUGAUACUGGAUGGCUUGGAUUCGGGAGAGGAAUGCGGAAUUCCAGGUGUAGCGGUGAAAUGCGUAGAUAUCGGGAGGAAUACCAGUGGCGAAGGCGGCGACCUGGGCCAAUACUGACGCUGAGGUGCGAAAGCGUGGGGAGCAAACAGG
rnacentral:rRNA from 1 species